rnacentral:rRNA from 1 species
UACGUAGGGGGCGAGCGUUGUCCGGACUUAUUGGGCGUAAAAGGCUUGUAGGUGGCCAUGCGAAUUCGGAUGUGAAAUCUCCCGGCUCAACUGGGAGGGGUCAUUCGAUACUGGCAGGCUCGAGGCCGGUAGGGGGUAGCGGAAUUCCCGGUGUAGUGGUGGAAUGCGUAGAUAUCGGGAGGAACACCAGUGGCGAAGGCGGCUACCUGGACCAGCACUGACACUGAGGCACGAAAGCGUGGGGAGCGAACAGG